rnacentral:rRNA from 1 species
CAACCUGCCGUCUACUCUUGGACACCCUUCUGAAAGGAAGAUUAAUACAAGAUGGCAUCAUGAGUCCGCAUGUUCACAUGAUUAAAGGUAUUCCGGUAGACGAUGGGGAUGCGUUCCAUUAGAUAGUAGGCGGGGUAACGGCCCACCUAGUCUUCGAUGGAUAGGGGUUCUGAGAGGAAGGUCCCCCACAUUGGAACUGAGACACGGUCCAAACUCCUACGGGAGGCAGCAGUGAGGAAUAUUGGUCAAUGGGCGAGAGCCUGAACCAGCCAAGUAGCGCGAAGGAUGACUGCCCUAUGGGUUGUAAACUUCUUUUAUAAAGGAAUAAAGUCGGGUAUGGAUACCCGUUCGCAUGUACUUUAUGAAUAAGGAUCGGCUAACUCCGUGCCAGCAGCCGCGGUAAUACGGAGGAUCCGAGCGUUAUCCGGAUUUAUUGGGUUUAAAGGGAGCGUAGAUGGAUGUUUAAGUCAGUUGUGAAAGUUUGCGGCUCAACCGUAAAAUUGCAGUUGAUACUGGAUAUCUUGAGUGCAGUUGAGGCAGGCGGAAUUCGUGGUGUAGCGGUGAAAUGCUUAGAUAUCACGAAGAACUCCGAUUG